CACGUAGGGUGCGAGCGUUGUCCGGAAUUAUUGGGCGUAAAGAGCUCGUAGGCGGUUUGUUGCGUCGGCCGUGAAAACCUGCAGCUUAACUGUGGGCCUGCGGCCGAUACGGGCAGACUUGAGUUCGGUAGGGGAGACUGGAAUUCCUGGUGUAGCGGUGAAAUGCGCAGAUAUCAGGAGGAACACCGGUGGCGAAGGCGGGUCUCUGGGCCGAUACUGACGCUGAGGAGCGAAAGCGUGGGGAGCGAACAGG
rnacentral:rRNA from 1 species